rnacentral:rRNA from 1 species
GAUGAACGCUGGCGGCGUGCCUAAUACAUGCAAGUCGAGCGAGGCGGGGACGGGUGAGUAACACGUGGAUAACCGCCGAUAGGACUGGGGUAACUUCGGGAAACCGGAGCUCAACCGGAUACUUAUACGUGUUUCCGCGCUGCAUUAGCUAGUUGGUAAGGGAACGGCGUACCAAGGCAACGAUGCAUAGCCGACCUGAGAGGGGGAUCAGCCACACUGGAACUGAGACACGGUCCAGACUCCUACGGGAGGCAGCAGUAGGGAAUCUUCCGCAAUGGGCGAAAGCCUGACGGAGCCACGCCGCGUGAGUGAUGAAGGUCUUCGGAUCGUAAAACACUGUUAUUAGGGAAGCGGUACCUAAUCAGAAAGCCACGGCUAACUACGUGCCAGCAGCCGCGGUAAUUC